rnacentral:misc_RNA from 1 species
AACGCACGAGACCUGCGGACCUGCGGAGGGAUCAUUACCGAGUUAUCAACUCCCAAACCCCUGUGAACAUACCCGAACGUUGCCUCGGCGGGACCGCCCCGGCGCCCCUAGCGGCCCGGAACCAGGCGCCCGCCGGAGGACCCAAACUCUUGCUUUAAACAGUGGCAUACUCUCUGAGUCUCACAAACAAAAAAUAAAUCAAAACUUUUAGCAAUGGAUCUCUAGAUCGGAAGAGCACAC